GACGAACGCUGGCGGCGUGCUUAACACAUGCAAGUCGAACGAUGAAGGAGAGCUUGCUCUCCGGAUUAGUGGCGAACGGGUGAGUAACACGUGACUAACCUGCCCCUUUCUCUGGGAUAACGCUCCGAAAGGAGUGCUAAUACCGGAUUCGAACUCUGAACACAUGUUCGGAGUUGGAAAGUUUUUCGGAAAGGGAUGGAGUCGCGGCCUAUCAGCUUGUUGGUGAGGUAAUGGCUCACCAAGGCGACGACGGGUAGCCGGCCUGAGAGGGCGACCGGCCACACUGGGACUGAGACACGGCCCAGACUCCUACGGGAGGCAGCAGUGGGGAAUAUUGCACAAUGGGCGAAAGCCUGAUGCAGCGACGCCGCGUGAGGGAUGAAGGUCUUCGGAUUGUAAACCUCUUUCAGUAGGGACGAAGCGAAAGUGACGGUACCUAAAGAAGAAGCACCGGCUAACUACGUGCCAGCAGCCGCGGUAA
rnacentral:rRNA from 1 species